AUUGAACGCUGGCGGCAUGCCUUACACAUGCAAGUCGAACGGUAACAGGUCUUCGGACGCUGACGAGUGGCGAACGGGUGAGUAAUACAUCGGAACGUGCCCAGUCGUGGGGGAUAACGCAGCGAAAGCUGUGCUAAUACCGCAUACGAUCUAUGGAUGGAAGCGGGGGACCGUAAGGCCUCGCGCGAUUGGAGCGGCCGAUGUCAGAUUAGGUAGUUGGUGGGGUAAAGGCCUACCAAGUCGACGAUCAGUAGCGGGUCUGAGAGGAUGAUCCGCCACACUGGGACUGGGAAACGGCCCAGACUCCUACGGGAGGCAGCAGUGGGGAAUUUUGGACAAGGGGCGCAAGCCUGAUCCAGCCAUGCCGCGUGUCUGAAGAAGGCCUUCGGGUUGUAAAGGACUUUUGUCCGGGAGCAAAUGCCUGGUGUUAAUAGCAUCGGGAGCUGAGAGUACCGGAAGAAUAAGCACCGGCUAACUACGUGCCAGCAGCCGCCGUAACAC
rnacentral:rRNA from 1 species